rnacentral:rRNA from 1 species
CCCUUAGAUGUUCUGGGCCGCACGCGCGCUACACUGACAGGGCCAGCGAGUACAUCACCUUAACCGAGAGGUUUGGGUAAUCUUGUAAAGCCCUGUCGUGCUGGGGAUAGAGCAUUGCAAUUAUUGCUCUUCAACGAGGAAUGCCUAGUAGGCACGAGUCAUCAGCUCGUGCCGAUUACGUCCCUGCCCUUUGUACACACCGCCCGUCGCUACUACCGAUUGAAUGGCUCAGUGAGGCCUUGGGAUUGGCUUAGGAGGGUUGGCAACGACCCCCCAGAGCCGAAAACUUGGUCAAACUCGGUCAUUUAGAGGAAGUAAAAGUCGUAACA